CAUUCGAGUGGCGGACGGGUGAGUAACGCGUGGGUAACCUGCCUUACACACGGGGGAUAACACCUGGAAACAGGUGCUAAUACCGCAUAAGCGCACAGGGCCGCAUGGCCCGGUGUGUAAAAACUCCGGUGGUGUAAGAUGGACCCCGCGUCUGAUUAGCUUGUUGGCGGGGUAGGGGCCCACCAAGGCGACGAUCAGUAGCCGGCCUGAGAGGGUGGACGGCCACAUUGGGACUGAGACACGGCCCAAACUCCUACGGGAGGCAGCAG
rnacentral:rRNA from 1 species